rnacentral:rRNA from 1 species
ACUCCUACGGGAGGCAGCAGUGGGGAAUUUUGGACAAUGGGGGCAAGCCUGAUCCAGCCAUGCCGCGUGAGUGAAGAAGGCCUUCGGGUUGUAAAGUUCAUUCGGCCGGGAAGAAGUCGGCGUCUCUAACAUAGGCCAUGGAUGACGGUACCGGACUAAGAAGCACCGGCUAACUACGUGCCAGCAGCCGCGGUAAU